rnacentral:sRNA from 2 species
ACGCGUAAAGCGCCGUAGGCAGGAGCGGGGGACCCAGGUAAGCCGCCGGGUCCGGACAGCCCCUUGGCGUCCUUCACGGUCGAAGGACGGGGGCAGUACGGGACCGGCUCGGGGUGAAGCCGCGUGCAAGGUCACGCGGCCGGGCAACUCAUUGGCCCGAACCCGACAGCUCACCUCGUAGGCGUCGGUGAGGAGAUUC